rnacentral:rRNA from 1 species
CCUACGGGUGGCAGCAGUGAGGAAUAUUGGUCAAUGGGCGGAAGCCUGAACCAGCCAUGCCGCGUGCAGGAAGAAUGUCUUAUGGAUUGUAAACUGCUUUUAUUUGGGAAUAAACCUCAAUACGUGUAUUGAGCUGAAGGUACCAAAUGAAUAAGCACCGGCUAACUCCGUGCCAGCAGCCGCGGUAAUACGGAGGGUGCAAGCGUUAUCCGGAAUCAUUGGGUUUAAAGGGUCCGCAGGCGGGCGUAUAAGUCAGUGGUGAAAGCCUACAGCUUAACUGUAGAACUGCCAUUGAUACUGUAUGCCUUGAAUUCGAUCGAAGUGGGCGGAAUGUGUAGUGUAGCGGUGAAAUGCAUAGAUAUUACACAGAACACCGAUAGCGAAGGCAGCUCACUAGGUCUGAAUUGACGCUCAUGGACGAAAGCGUGGGGAGCAAACAGGAUUAGAUACCCUAGUAGUC